UUGAUUUGGACGUGUAAUUUGCCUUGCAAUAGCUUGCAUUUAAAAAUUCAAUGUGAAUUCUCCAUUUGUACCUAAAUAAUCAUCUCUUCAAAAGUGCCACUUAGAAGAUCCAAGCAUAAGCAUAUAGGUAAUGGUUGGAAUGGUCUUUGUAUGAGGAACAAAUGUUAUGUUGGACAAAAACUCAUUUGGGAUGGGGUUAUGAAAAUUGAGUUUAAAGUGUGAUGUGCAAAACAUGUCAAUGCAAGAUUUCUAAUUUUGGCCAACUUUCAAGGC
rnacentral:lncRNA from 1 species